rnacentral:snRNA from 1 species
CCGCUUCAGCAGCUCAUACACUAAAAUUGGAACGAUACGGAGAAGAUUAGCGUGGACCCUGCACGAGCACGACACGCCAAUUGGUGAAGCAUUCCGUACUUUU